AGUAUGUGGUUUAAUCGAUGCAACGCGAAGAACCUUACCUGGUCUUGACAUCCCGGAGACCCUUAGGAACUAGGGGUGCUUCCAUCUGGAAGAAUCUGGAGACAGGUGCUGCAUGGCUGUCGUCAGCUCGUGUCGUGAGAUGUUGGGUUAAGUCCCGCAACGAGCGCAACCCUUGCCUUUAGUUGCCAGCAGUUCGGCUGGGCACUCUAAAGGGACUGCCGGUGUUAAACCGGAGGAAGGUGGGGAUGACGUCAAGUCCUCAUGGCCUUUAUGACCAGGGCUACACACGUACUACAAUGGCCGAUACAAAGGGCAGCGACACUGCGAGGUGAAGCCAAUCCCGUAAAAUCGGUCUCAGUCCGGAUUGGAGUCUGCAACUCGACUCCAUGAAGUUGGAAUCGCUAGUAAUCGUGGAUCAGCAUGCCACGGUGAAUACGUUCCCGGGCCUU
rnacentral:rRNA from 1 species